CUCAAAAAAAAAAAAAAAUGUACAUAAUCAUACCUUCCCUCUCUGCCUCACAGGGUGCCUAUGAGGACAAAAAAGGUGGUAUAUGUGAAAGUGCUUCAUAACUGAGCUGGUAAUCCAUAGAUGUCUGGUAUUAGCAAUGUUUUCUAAUAAAAUAAUAAGAGUAAUACUCGUUAUAACCUCUUUGCUUUGACAGUGCCUUUCAUUGCAGCCAUUCAGUAAUUUUGCAGCUUAUUAUCACCUGUAUAACACCCCUGUUGCUACCAUGUCUAAAGGUGCACAAGCAGCCAGCCAGUGAGGGAAGGGGAAGGUCUUUCUUCUCAGCAUGUCUUUAGAGCAGUGAUUCUCUAAGUUGUAGCACACUGGAAUCCCCUGGGGAGCUUCACACAUGCAGGUGUCUAGGUCCCACCCUGGCCAAUUAAAAUUUAAUCUGGUGGGGAGGAACUGGGCACCAGUAUUUUUUUAAAGUUUCCCAAGUGAUUCUAAUAUGCAGCCAAGGUUGGCAACCACUGCUCUUUGGACUAUUUGUACAUCUCAGUGGCUGCUGAAAGUGAUCACAGUUUUAAAAGAACACAGCUUGUGGUUCUGGAAAAAUCCAUCUGCUUUUUCCAGAAAUGUAGUACGUAAGUCAAAUAGGUCUGAGGUCACUUGGGAGAGAAAUCCAAGAGUUGGACUGAGAGCUCAAACCACAAAGAUUCUAAAUGCCACCAUCACUUAGAUAGCUGCCCUUUUUCCUGAACUGCCACUGUUGACAGAUAAGAUGGUGCACACAGCGAGAAUCUGAGCAGCACAGAGCCCCCCAUCCCCAUCACUGUUCCUCCACUAAGCUCCCCUUGAAAACAUUCCACAGGACUUCCUAUUCACGGUGAUUAGAAAAGUGAAUACCUCCUAUUUUAAAAGAAAAAAAUCUCAGAGGAUAAGCACGUAGCCGACGAGUGGCCAAUUCUGUAAUUUUCCCCAUGGAUAAUAAGGAAAUAAUCAUACAUUAUUUAAUAAUGUAUUUUUCCAUUGAAUUCCAAUGUGUCUACAAAUUAUACAUGUUUUAUAUGAUGUUUCACUUUAGGGUUAAGCCAAAUAAGCAUACAUUUAUUUUAUAAAUAUAAAUAUAUUAUCUAUUAAAAUAGUUUCUAGUAAAAACAUAGGUUUAGCUAUUUGACUCAAAUUUCUUAAAGAAGCCAUAGUUAGAAGAAAAUAUCCACUAGAGUAUACUAGACUUUAUGUCUUCGCAGGAGAAGUAACACUUCCUCAUCUGUUUACCUCUCAACUCCCUUCUCCAACUAGAAAUGAAGACACAAGAUAAUAAAAGGAUUUGACUUUUCAGUAUCCCUUUCGAACUGGGCACCACCCAGAAGAAAGAUUCUGUUAACUACUCCCUUUAGAAAUUAUCUCAAGUUUCAGAAGCUUACAAGUGCACAAAAAUGUUUCCUGCCGCCCCCACCAAGAUGGAACAGGGACAAGAAGAACUGAUCUGCAUCAUCCUCUAGAUUCUGUGUGCGCUUCCUGAUCCAUGCCUCCAAAUGACAAGGGUUACAGGCAUGCAGCAAUGAAUGUAGGCAAAAUCCUUUCUGUAUCUAAUUCAAAACACCAGUACCCCCAGUCUAGCAAAGGAAGUGAGAAUGCCCCAACCACUCUAAUCAGGGACAUGGACAGUUCUCCCAGCAGAAGUAAUGAGGGCCUCCUCUUGAGUCAAGAAGAUACUAUCUUCCCUCUGAAUCCACAAAAUGAAUCCACAAAAGCUCUAGUAGCUAAUUUUUCCUUUCAUUAAAAUAAAACAGGUGGUACAGUAAGUAAAGAGCUUAUCAAUUGCACAUUAAACUAGAGGUAAUGGGUACUGUACUCUCUGUAUUACGUUUUCUAUUGCUGUGUAACAAAUUACCCCCAAACACAGUAGCUUGGCACAGCAAAUGUGUGUGACCUCUCACAGCAUCUGAGGGUCUGGAAACUAGUAAGGUGGGGCUGACUCAGGGGCUCUCACAAGGUUGCUGUCAAGUCAGGGCUGCAGUCACCUGAAGGCUUGACUGGGGCUGGAGGAGCCACUUCCAAGUGUGCUCACAGUGUUCAUGGCUUCAGGCCCUCACUGGCUGUUGGCUAGAGUCCCCAUGGCCUCUCCAUAGACUGUCUGCAUGUCCUUUUGACAUGAGAGCUGGCUUGAGAAUUAGUGAUCUGAUAGAUGAGGGGAGAGAGAGAGAGAGGGAGAACAUGAGAACUAAUCUUAAAAAUAAACUCCACUGGGUUCUGCUGUGUCCUAUUGGUCACAUAGAUCAACUCUGCCACAGUGUGGGAGGGGACUACACCAAGGGUGAACACCAGGAGGUGGGGACCAUCACAGGCCAUCUUGAAGGUCACUGACCACAUUCCCCAAUCAAAGGCCUGCCUCCCCAACACAGCCCACCACCACUACCUCAGUCAGAGAACUGGGGACUCAGGAACUUAAAGCCAUCUCAAAGAAAUACAGUUGGGAGACCAUGGUUGCAAAUGAGUCCACGAAAGCUCUAAUAGCUAAUUUUUCCUUUCAUUAAAAUAAAACAGGUGGUACAGUAAGUAAAAGAGCUUAUCAAUUGCACAUUAAACUAGAGGUAAUGGGUACUCUAUAACUCAUUUCCAUUUCAUUGUGCUUUGCUUACUAGAAGCUUUCAGAUUUCCCUGGCAGCAGUUUCAAGGAGAUUCUGAUAGACUUAUUUUGCUUAGAUGCAGACACUGUGCACACUGAGAAGGCUUUUUCUCUGUGUCUGGUCCUAUGUGCAGUGUUAGCGUGGCUGUCAUAGAUUUGCUCUGCGUCUUGCUCUGGCUAUUGUCCUAAAGGCACAAUUUUGGCCAAAUGUAGUUUACUACUUGGUUAAGGGGAAGUGAUGUGGGGAGAAAUCACAGUCCCUCAAGGCCUAACAUCGAGGGAUUUAAAGCCUUAACAACUGCCCAUGCCUACUUCAUUCCAGAGCUCGUCAGAGAACACCCAGCAUAGGACCUGGGCUCUGCGGGCCCUCCCACCUCCCUUAGCUCCUGUGCUACCCAGCCCUUGCAGUACAAGCUGUACCUGUUGUCAACCUCCACUCACCACACCUACCCCAAGCCCAGACCACAUUAACCUCCAUGGCCACAGCUUCCUCUUCACCUCUUUCUGCCCUUUCUAGCUUCCAGCUAACUAAAAAAAUUAUUACCAACAAGGUCAACUGACAGUCUCCAUAUACUUGCCUCUAAAUUUUGGAAGGUAAUUGCUAUAGUUUGAUUAUGGUUUAUUUGACCCCAAUAAAUUUCAUAUUGAAAUUUGAUCCCCAAUGUGGUGUUGUUAGGAGGUGGGGCUUAAUAGGAAGUAUUUUGAGUCAUGAGGCAGAUCCCUCAUGAAUGGCUUGGUGCUGACUUCUUGGUAACGAGUGAGAUCUCAUUUUCUUAGUUCCCGGAGGUGCUAGUUGUUAAAUAAAAAGCCCAGUACCUCUCCUCUCUCUCUUGCUCUCUCUCUCACCCCGUGGUCUCUACAUACCAGCUUCCCUUUGCCUCUUGCCAUGAGUAGAAGCAGCCUGAGGCCCUCCCCAGAGGCAGAUGCUGGUGCCAUGCUUCUUGUACAGCCUGCAGAACUGUGAGCGAAAUAAAUCUCUUUUCUUCAUAAAUUA